GACGUAGGGCGCGAGCGUUGUCCGGAUUUAUUGGGCGUAAAGAGCUCGUAGGCGGCUUGUUGCGUCGACUGUGAAAACCCGCGGCUCAACCGCGUGGCUUGCAGUCGAUACGGGCAGGCUAGAAUUCGGUAGGGGAGACUGGAAUUCCUGGUGUAGCGGUGAAAUGCGUAGAUAUCAAGAGGAACACCUGCGGCGAAGGCGGGUUGCUGGGCCGACACUGACGCUGAGGCGCGAAAGCUAGGGGAGCGAACGGG
rnacentral:rRNA from 1 species